GAUGAACGCUGGCGGCGUGCUUAACACAUGCAAGUCGAACGGAAAGGCCCUGCUUUUGUGGGUCGCUCGAUUGCCGAGCUCGUGAGUAACACGUGAGUAACCUGCCCUUGGCUUUGGGAUAACUCCACGAAACCGGGGCUAAUACCGGAUAGGAGCUCCUGCUGCAUGUUGGUGGUUGGAAAGUUUCGGCGUUUGGGGAUCGACUCGCGGCUUACCCGCUUGCUAGUGGGGUAGUGGCUUACCCAGGCUUUGACGGGUACCCGGCCUGUGAGGGUGACCGGCCACAUAGGGACUGAGAGACGGCCCAGACUGCUACGGGAGGCAGCAGGGGGGAAGAUUGCACAAUGAGCGGAAGCCUGAUGCAGCAAGGCCGCGUGCGGGAAGACGGCCUUCGGGUUGGAAAACGAUUUCGCCUGUGACGAAGCGUGAGUGACGGUAAUGGGUAAAGAAGCACCGGGUAAAUACGUGG
rnacentral:rRNA from 1 species